rnacentral:rRNA from 1 species
UACGUAGGGUGCAAGCGUUGUCCGGAAUUAUUGGGCGUAAAGAGCUCGUAGGCGGUUUGUCGCGUCGGGAGUGAAAUCCACUGGCUUAACUGGUGGCUUGCUUUCGAUACGGGCAGACUGGAGGUAUGCAGGGGAGAACGGAAUUCCUGGUGUAGCGGUGAAAUGCGCAGAUAUCAGGAGGAACACCGGUGGCGAAGGCGGUUCUCUGGGCAUGUCCUGACGCUGAGGAGCGAAAGUGUGGGAGCGAACAGG